UGACGUCAGAUGCGGGGCCAGGGCCGUUGCAGACGCACGGCGGGGCCGUGACCCGCUCCCCAAACAGCGCGAUAAGGGCGGCCUUGAGCGGUGCAAAAGCAAAGAUCAGGAAGUGGUAAAGACUCGCAAGGCCCUGAUGUGCUUGCAACCUCUCCUUUCAAAAGGAUUGUGCAGUUCUUUGGAAAUCUUGAGAAAGAGAGAUGUAGUAAGGUGUAACUCCCUUCCUGAGGGCUGACAUCACAACGUCAAUAGGAAGCUGUUGCCACCUUGGUAGGGUGUGUGUGUGUGUGUUAGCUGUAUUGUUGCAAUAAAGCUCCUUUGAGAGCAACAA